rnacentral:lncRNA from 1 species
GUCAUAUUUGCAAAGAGUUUCUCCAAAAUUUUUAGCAUUCAAAGCAUAUCGAUUCGCUACCUGAAUUGCUUAACUCCUUUCUCUGUUUUUGCUUUAAUGCCUGCCACCCACAUAGCAUUGUCUAGCACACUGUACUAUCUUUUUAAUUAAAAAUAUUAUAGCGGCUUACAUACACUUUCAUUUAACUCAUGCAAACAGUCUUGUUAAUAUAAACAAGGUAACCUACAGGUGAAGUUAAUCCUGCACUCAACUCAUUGCAAAGCAAGCCCUAGAGUUUCACAUAUGAAAGAAUUUAAAUGGGAUCAAGAGUAAAUAGAAAAGAGGUUCAACAGCACCAGGCACCUCCAUCCCUGCUUCCCAACUGCUUUAAUGACCUUGCAGCUGGGGCCAUCCUGAGAACAAGGCUUGCUUCCUGACUUUAAUCACCACAGCUGAAGGGGCUCUGUCAGAAGAGCGUUUCCAUACUGGAAAGGCACAACCUCUGCAGAAUGGGAGGAGAAGGGCAAGCAUGACUCUUCAGAAAUACACUGAGGUCCUUUACAUUCAUGGAGAGCUCAGAAGAUCUCAGAGCCUGUUGCAUUAAGCCACGAGAAAGGCGCCUCAGACAACAUGCAAUGGAGACCAUCAGACUUUGCCUCCAGAAGGUAUCACAGCUACUGGAAGGAAUUACCCCGGACUGCUUUCUCCAUUUCACAGAUAAAUACAGAGCUCAUCUCAGAUUAGUAACAAAAAUAAACACCUUUUGAAAAUAUCAACUAAAACAAUAGCACUGCUGCCCAGGCAGAAAAUAGGCAAACCAUAGCUCUAAACCACCAAAAACAAACCCUGAUGCAUGCACGAGACUUGACAUGACACUAACCAGAGCAGACUUAUUUUCUUGGGGGUUAGGUUUGAAUUCCAUUUUGUUAUAAGAGAUUAGGGCUGAAGAAUGUGAAAUCUUUCAUGGCAUCCUGGCUAUCAGACACCAGUGGCCCCUAGGUGCAUAUGUGCUUCUUGUCAGCCCUGGCUCCUUUGACAAGGCUUGGGCCAUCACUCUAAGCAUGAGGAAGGCAAGAUAAACAGUUCUCUUCCAUUCAGAAUUUGUAAUAAUUAGAACAAGGUCCCCAUUCUAAUUCCUGUGUGUGCAUAGAAGAAACAAAAUAGGUAGGAUAUUAGAUCUGAAGAUAAAAAAAAAUUAAACCAAACUUUGCAUGAUCAUUCUUUUGUUUGCAUAUCAUAGUGGUAGCACAGAGGAAGACAGCCCUGGAAAAUUUUGACUUUGGUUGUAAAUGAAGUGGAGCACUCAAGGUUGGCGCAUGUUAACGUGACCAAAACAGCUCAUAAGCAGAGUAUAACACAGCCCCACAUGCUGGAUCCUUAGCAAGAUGGUUGUUGUCUUUGUAAACUGCACAUGGAAAAGUGCAGGCUGUAGACAUUCUGGCUCAAGCCAGAAGAGACCUCAUCGAGAGAGCAGUGCUAACUGAAAAUGUACAACUAGAGGGUUUGUUUUGUUUAUUUAAUUGCAUAUGAUUGGCAAACUUUAUUUUGGAAUAUAGAAUACUGCUCACAAGAGCAAAGAUGUGCCCAUUUCAGACAAUGGUUUGCAAAUGACAGGGAAGAUGUUCCAGUGAGUAUGACAUCAAGCCACAUGUGUGGAAGACAUCAGAAGAGCACGGAUGAAGCAACUGUCCAAAAAUGUGCUUUUCAACACACUCACACGUGCACACAUCUAAUUCUCAUGCGCACAAGAAAAGAAUCAAAGUGAUGGAGCAAAAGCAUUCAAUUGCUUCUCUGCCUCAAACUCCUUGUUAUGACCUUGGGUAAGUAGGCCCAGACUUGCCACAAACUAACUGCCUUGAAGCAUGAUGGCCCUAAUCUCUGAACCUACGCACGCUGUCUGCAAAAUGACCUAAUCUCUUCGCUCCCACCUUUGGACAGGUUGGCUUAUGCAAAGUCUAAGGUACUUAUCUGAGGGGCAAAAUUUGACCCUGGUCACAGUAUUGAAGUAUAAAAUACACUUCUUAAAAAUGCAAAAUAUUCCUGUUAUGUAUAAAAAUAUAUAUCUCACCCAAUAAAAUACAUAACUGCAGCUUCCUACUUAUUCUU